GGGGUCGAUUCUGGUUUCGACUUCAUCGACUAAGCCAGGGGAAGCGUGCCGGUGCAGGCUAGAGACCACCGUAAGCGUCGUAGCAACCAAUAAACGCAGAGAAGAACUCUCAGCGUGACUACGCCCUCGCUGCCUAAUUAGAAAGGUUCAGCGACCUGCGUGUCCGUCAGGCCGGGGAUGCCCCCGACCCGGUACCUGGCGUCGACUUAGGGGGGCUUGCCUUCCGGCCCUGUCAGUGGGGCCUCGGAAGGGACAUUUUUCACUGACUGGGCCCGUCAUCCGGACAUGUUUGCCUGAUCCGGAGGGCCGAGCAGAGGCAGUGCGCGAACUGCGCACGGAGAAGCCCUGGCGCGGUGGUGAAGGACCCGGGUUCAAUUCCCGGCGGCUCCACUG
rnacentral:tmRNA from 1 species